GUGGUUGAGACAGAUGAUUGUUAACACCUGCCCCCAAAUUCUUUUGGUUAUUUCCUGCAAGCCCUGUGAUGCAGAACUCAGGCCUCUAUGGACCGCUUGUCCAGAUCUAAAGGUGUUUCCUGAGGGCCGAAUUGGCCUCGUAUGCAGGUUCCUCUGCAGACCACAGCAAUGCAUAGAAGAUGCGGCACUGCCUCCUGGCAUGCACACAGGGCCGGCUCCCCCAGCUACACAUCAAACACCAACUCUGCUGCCCAUGCCGGAUGCCAAGUGAGAUAAUAUGUCCUUGCCUCCUGCUUUCCUGAGAUGAGUAACAAAAUAAUCCUAGCUGCUAUCAUUCAUGCGGUAGCCACAAGCUCUAAGCAGGUGCAGAAUAUACUCUUCAUCUGCAAAGUGAGUACUAACAAUAACCCUGCUUUGCAGAUGAUGAAACCAGAGCUUUAAAGAAGCCUCUAACCUAUUACAACUCAUGGUACAGGCAUUUGGUCCCGGGACUACCCAUCUCCAGUAUGAACUCCCUGUAUUUCUCUCUUUUCCUCUGAAAAUCUGUCUCUGUCUUGAUCCCUGGUCUUGGAGGAAGAAAAGUUCUUUCAAUGCAAAGUUUCCUCCUCCAUCUUGAGCUUGGUUUCCUCCUGUCUCCCACUGCACCUCCCUACAUUAACUGUCCCCUCCCUCUCUCAUAUAGAUCAGCCUCUCCUCCCCACUGCCUCUUCCCUACAAAUGCAUUUGGUCUGCCCACCUUCACCAAUCACUCCUGCUUCAUCUGCCUCCUUGCUUCACUGUCAGCUUGUCAAAAGGAAGGGUGUUUCAGUUUGGCCACCUCUUCUGUUCCCUCAUGCACUCCUUGGCUGUCCAGUCACCUACUUGGUGAGCAAAGCCUUGGUCCCUUCCCUGACACUGUGUGUCUUGGGUCCCUUCUCUUCCCUCCUGGAUGGGCACCAUGUCAUCUCCUACCCUUUUGUUUCUCAGUGCCUGGGACUGUGCCCUGAAUAGCAAGGGCGAUGGUGAUGACCUCACAUUCAGAACUGGUCAAAAAUCAAGACAAACACUUCCCAGGGGCAGGGAGCUAGCUGAGGUGGGGCUCCCAGGGAAAUUCCUUUGGGCUGGAGUUCUGUUCAGCAGAAUGACGACACACUAUUGCCAUUUUUAGAGCAGUGAUUACCAAAUGGAAAUACCCUAUUUCACCAGAGACUGAGAUCCGAAGUCACUCGCUUCAUAGCUAAAUGUCAUUUACCUCUUCACUGUAACUGAGGCGCUGAGAAACAAGCACAUGACUACAUGCUAGGGGAUUCAAUUCCUGUUUUUCCUUCCUGUUUGUCCUCUGUUAAAAUAAAAAAAGAA
rnacentral:lncRNA from 1 species